rnacentral:lncRNA from 1 species
GGGUAACAUAAAUCAUUGACUUUUUCGAAGACACAUCAAUAAAAUAAAGAAGUUACUAAAAAUAUUGACACGUUCAAUGGGAUUUAUAAGGUUUACUUGUUGUACCAGGAUAUAAAAAAGGGGGAGGGCCGGUUGGUAGGUCAACUUGGAGUAAUACUUUGAAAAGUAUAUUAACUUAUUAUACAUGCAUGUAUGAAGUUCAAUCGGAAGGCCC